GUAUGAUUGGUAACUUGCAGUGUAGAAGUUUAGCAUAUGGUGGUGGCAUGUACGUGAUCUUGAUCAUGGGAGUACGACAAGUUUCUCACUAAGGGUCACAACAAUUUGACAAAACUCAAUGAAAGAACAAGCUGCAUAUGUGGAGGCUAUGUAAUAGGAUCAACAUAUGGCCUUGGAUAGGAAUUUCUCAUCAUUGAGGAACUUAUCAUUUUAGCAUUUUAAAAAUAAAACUUCGGAUAUCAAGCAUCACAUAGAACAAUACCAUAGCAGCUCUAUUCUACCAUAU
rnacentral:lncRNA from 1 species